GGAGAGAGUUGUCUUGUUUGAGUUGAAAGGGCCUUGAAAUUUUCAAACAUGAUAUGAAUGUGGUGGUGGCCUUUCCCUCUGCCCUAAAUCUCUUUCCAGUACUGCUUCUUAGAUCUGCAUGUCGGUGAUUUCACCUUAUUAUGUUUAUAUAUACCCUCGCCUUCGUCUGCCUUCCUGUACCUUUCCAUUUUCUCAGCUAUUAGUUCUCUCCCUUCGAUCUUUGGCAAUAAACCCGAGUUAUGUAUACAUAUAGAAGUAUUCAUGUAUAGUUUUAGUGAACAAGCAUGCCUCUUCUACCUGGUCAAAACAACUUGUAUUUGUUUGCGUGCAUGCAAACCCUAUAUUAUGUGGUGUAUUUACUUCAUGAAUUCAAUCCCUAGCGCUUUAUAGAUGAUCUUUAGCACUUCAAAGCAGAAAUUAAGAGAUAUGAGAUGCCUCUGGGAAGAACCUAUUUUUUCUGGAUAUACGACAGGAUGAGGGGCUUUCUUUGAAGAUCGAUCUUUGAGAAUGCUACAGAAGCUGCAACCGCCUUGCUUGAGGCUACUUACUGGACUCACUAUUCCAGCUGGAGCUUAGGUCGAUGUAUUGUAUGGCAAACUAAGAAAGAUCGAACUUGUGUAUAUAUGACUCAUGUAUUUUUCCGUUGUGAGUUGUUUUUAAUUCACUGGUGUAACCAGUUAAAAUCUUUUAUGUCUUCCUGUGACCUGAUUUCAAGGCUUCAAUUUGCAGUAAAAAUACAAAACUAUCAGAUUAAUGAA